GAUGAACGCUGGCGGCGUGCCUAAUACAUGCAAGUCGAGCGAACGGACGAGAAGCUUGCUUCUCUGAUGUUAGCGGCGGACGGGUGAGUAACACGUGGAUAACCUACCUAUAAGACUGGGAUAACUUCGGGAAACCGGAGCUAAUACCGGAUAAUAUUUUGAACCGCAUGGUUCAAAAGUGAAAGACGGUCUUUCUGUCACUUAUAGAUGGAUCCGCGCUGCAUUAUCUAGUUGGUAAGGUAACGGCUUACCAAGGCAACGAUGCAUAGCCGACCUGAGAGGGUGAUCGGCCACACUGGAACUGAGACACGGUCCAGACUCCUACGGGAGGCAGCAGUAGGGAAUCUUCCGCAAUGGGCGAAAGCCUGACGGAGCAACGCCGCGUGAGUGAUGAAGGUCUUCGGAUCGUAAAACUCUGUUAUUAGGGAAGAACAUAUGUGUAAGUAACUGUGCACAUCUUGACGGUACCUAAUCAGAAAGCCACGGCUAACUACGUG
rnacentral:rRNA from 1 species